UACGGGGGGGGCAAGCGUUGUUCGGAAUUACUGGGCGUAAAGGGCUCGUAGGCGGCCAACUAAGUCAGACGUGAAAUCCCUCGGCUUAACCGGGGAACUGCGUCUGAUACUGGAUGGCUUGAGUUUGGGAGAGGGAUGCGGAAUUCCAGGUGUAGCGGUGAAAUUCGUAGAUAUUCGGAAGAACACCAGUGGCGAAGGCGACUCACUGGACAACUGUUGACGCUGAGGUGCGAAAGCGUGGGGAGCAAACAGG
rnacentral:rRNA from 1 species